rnacentral:snRNA from 1 species
AUACUUACCUGGCAGGGGAGAUACCAUGAUCACGAAGGUGGUUUUCCCAGGGCGAGGCUUAUCCCUGUCUCUUAUACACAUCUAGAUGUGUAUAAGAGACAGGUGAUGGCUUGAGCCCCACAUAGGGCUCUCUGCUAGGCCGGGAGCCUGCUUCCUCCUC